UACGAAGGGGGCUAGCGUUGCUCGGAAUCACUGGGCGUAAAGGGUGCGUAGGCGGGUUUUUAAGUCAGGGGUGAAAUCCUGGAGCUCAACUCCAGAACUGCCUUUGAUACUGAAGAUCUUGAGUCCGGGAGAGGUGAGUGGAACUGCGAGUGUAGAGGUGAAAUUCGUAGAUAUUCGCAAGAACACCAGUGGCGAAGGCAGCUCACUGGCCCGAUACUGACGCUGAGGCACGAAAGCGUGGGGAGCAAACAGG
rnacentral:rRNA from 1 species